AUUGAACGCUGGCGGCAUGCUUUACACAUGCAAGUCGAACGGUUGCAGGCCUCUUGCUGCUGGCGUCAGGGGCGGGCGGGUGUAUAAUGCCUAGACAUAUCCCGGGUAGGGGGGUAACACGUCGAGAACUGGGCUAUAAUAGCACGUACUCUGUGAGGGAGAGCGUGGGGGCGCGUCGCACCUUAUGCCCUCAGGCCUUUCGAGCUCGCUAGGUCGGAUUAGCUAGUUGGUGGGGUAAAGGCCUACCAAGGCGACGAUCCGUAACUGGUCUGAGAGGAUGAUCAGUCACACUGGAACUGAGACACGGUCCAGACUCCUACGGGAGGCAGCAGUGGGGAAUAUUGGACAAUGGGCGAAAGCCUGAUCCAGCCAUGCCGCGUGUGUGAAGAAGGUCUUCGGAUUGUAAAGCACUUUAAGUUGGGAGGAAGGGCAGUAAGUUAAUACCGUGCUGUAUUGACGUUACCAACAGAAUAAGCACCGGCUAACUUCGUG
rnacentral:rRNA from 1 species